rnacentral:lncRNA from 1 species
AUGAAGCUCCUUCUUCACCUCUCUAUCUUCUUCACCAUACUCUUCAUCUCUCUCCCAUCUUCUCACAGCUCCUCCUCAAAUGACAAGAAUGCCCUCCUCCAAAUCAAGAAAGCCUUAAACAACCCUCCACUCCUCUCCUCCUGGAACCCCCAAACCGACUUCUGCACCACCUGGACCGGCGUCGAGUGCACCAACGGCCGCGUCACCGCUCUCACCAUCUCCUCCGGUGAAAUAUCCGGCCAGAUCCCGGCCCAGGUCG